rnacentral:lncRNA from 1 species
GUCACCAAAAGAUGGGAACAAAAAUGGAAAGGAGCAAUCUUUGGCUUGUUGGAGACACCCUCACUCCGUUUUCAGUGUCUGUUUAAUAAGGAGCAGAGCGGAGCCUGUUGAAUAAGCAACAAAGUAGCUCAGUAGGCAGUAGACUGGCUGCCUGCCGAGCGUGUGUGUUGGCCUGGGUCAGCUCCAUCCCUCGAACCAAAAGCAGAGAUCACUGGAGAAGUGUUGCCACCGAGCAGCCAUAGGACUGGCCCUGCUUCCUUCCAUGCCUGUGAAGCCUGUAGGACUCUCCACAAAAGCUGCAGUUGCCGGGAAUCAGGUUUGAAUCCCCAUUCCUUCUCAGACAGCUGGGGUGGCUGUGUUUAACCUCUCAGAACCUCACCUUUCUCCUUUGACAGGCAUAGCCCAGGCUGACGAAGCACCUCAGGACAUUUGCCUAGCCUGUGCGUAGCUUGGGCUUGAAGGAAUAACAGGAAAUGUUCACAGUGCUUGGCUUGUGUCCGUAUUUCUUGGCCAUUGUUCCCAAUAAUGACUUAUUUUGCAAGGCCUCCCGCAUGCCUCUAUGUAAAUAAAGAUGCUUUAGAAUAAAGUGAGCAGAAACAAGGCUUCCUGAGCGGUCUUUGUUCCUCUUCUUCCUGGAAAAGGCUUCCAAGAACUUCUAGCCAUGCGAAGUGAGCAAACACGGGAGAUACUAAUCUAUUAAAAAAACACAUUUCCCCUUUCUCCAGCAGCUGGGCACAAGUCCACUCACUGGUAACUCUACCCCUGAUCAAUGUACAACCAAAGCUUCCUGUUGAGACCUGUAAACAAAGCCCCUUACUGGAAGCUAGGCUUCCAGGCCUCUGGGAUUUCAUCAGCUGCUCGCUCUCCCAGGAGAACCAGCCACACCUGGCAAACCUGCAGCCAAGUCCAGAAGGCAAGGUGCACACUUCAAGGUCUGCGGGCCGCUUCUUUCUGAGUUUCUAAGUCAAGCGUCUCGAACAUUUGAAGAUACCUGUACCAUUGCCAAGCCACACGAGGCU